rnacentral:misc_RNA from 1 species
GAAAUGCGAUAAGUAAUGUGAAUUGCAGAAUUCAGUGAAUCAUCGAAUCUUUGAACGCACAUUGCGCCCGCCAGCACUCUGGCGGGCAUGCCUGUUCGAGCGUCAUUACAACCCUCAGGCCCCCGGGCCUGGCGUUGGGGAUCGGCGGAAGCCCCCUGCGGGCACAACGCCGUCCCCCAAAUACAGUGGCGGUCCCGCCGCAGCUUCCAUUGCGUAGUAGCUAACACCUCGCAACUGGAGAGCGGCGCGGCCACGCCGUAAAACACCCAACUUCUGAAUGUUGACCUCGAAUCAGGUAGGAAUACCCGCUGAACUUAAGC